rnacentral:rRNA from 1 species
GGGGAAUAUUGCGCAAUGGGCGAAAGCCUGACGCAGCCAUGCCGCGUGUGUGAAGAAGGCCUUCGGGUUGUAAAGCACUUUCAAUUGGGAGGAAAGGUUCACGGCUAAUACCCGUGAGCUGUGACGUUACCUUUAGAAGAAGCACCGGCUAACUCCGUGCCAGCAGCCGCGGUAAUACGGAGGGUGCGAGCGUUAAUCGGAAUUACUGGGCGUAAAGCGCGCGUAGGUGGUCUGUUAAGUCGGAUGUGAAAGCCCCGGGCUCAACCUGGGAACUGCAUCCGAUACUGGCAGACUAGAGUGCGGGAGAGGGAGGUAGAAUUCCACGUGUAGCGGUGAAAUGCGUAGAUAUGUGGAGGAAUACCAGUGGCGAAGGCGGCCUCCUGGCUCGACACUGACACUGAGGUGCGAAAGCGUGGGGAGCAAACAGG